rnacentral:rRNA from 1 species
CCUUUGUACACACCGCCCGUCGCUACUACCGAUUGAAUGGUUAAGUGAGACUUUGGGACUGGCUCAGAGAGGUCGGCAACGACCACUCAGAGCCGGAAACUUGUUCAAACUUGAUCAUUUAGAGG